rnacentral:rRNA from 1 species
UACGUAGGGGGCGAGCGUUGUCCGGAUUCAUUGGGCGUAAAGAGCUUGUAGGCGGCUUGGCAAGUCGGGUGUGAAAACUCCAGGCUCAACCUGGAGACGCCACCCGAUACUGCUAUGGCUUGAGUCCGGUAGGGGAUCACGGAAUUCCUGGUGUAGCGGUGAAAUGCACAGAUAUCAGGAGGAACACCAGUGGCGAAGGCGGUGAUCUGGGCCGGUACUGACGCUGAGAAGCGAAAGCGUGGGUAGCAAACAGG